UACGUAGGGUGCGAGCGUUGUCCGGAAUUAUUGGGCGUAAAGAGCUCGUAGGCGGUCUGUCGCGUCGGCUGUGAAAACUCGGGGCUCAACUCCGAGCCUGCAGUCGAUACGGGCAGACUAGAGUGCUGUAGGGGAGACUGGAAUUCCUGGUGUAGCGGUGAAAUGCGCAGAUAUCAGGAGGAACACCGGUGGCGAAGGCGGGUCUCUGGGCAGUGACUGACGCUGAGGAGCGAAAGCGUGGGGAGCGAACAGG
rnacentral:rRNA from 1 species